rnacentral:rRNA from 1 species
GACGAACGCUGGCGGCGUGCUUAACACAUGCAAGUCGAACGCUGAAGGCCUGGCUUUUGUUGGGUUGGAUGAGUGGCGAACGGGUGAGUAACACGUGAGUAACCUGCCCUCUUCUUUGGGAUAACGCCCGGAAACGGGUGCUAAUACUGGAUAUUCACUGAUCUUCGCAUGGGGGUUGGUGGAAAGGUUUGUUCUGGUGGGGGAUGGGCUCGCGGCCUAUCGGCUUGUUGGGGGGGUGAUGGCCUACCAAGGCUUUGACGGGUAGCCGGCCUGUGAGGGGGACCGGUCACAUUGGGACUGAGAUACGGCCCAGACUCCUACGGGAGGCAGCAGUGGGGAAUAUUGCACAAUAGGCGAAAGCAUGAUGCAGCGACGCCGCGUGAGGGAUGGAGGCCUUCGGGUUGUAAACCUCUUUCGCUCAUGGUCAAGCCGCAACUGUGGGUUGUGGUGAGGGUAGUGGGUAAAGAAGCGCCGGCUAACUACGUG